CAUAAACAGUUGUUAUAUCUUCUUUUAAAACAUAUUCGGAGCUAUCGCUGCUAAAACUUAACAAUCGAAAUGCAAACGCGUCGACGUACCUACAAGCUUUUAGCUUUAGUAGUUCGAGGAGAAAAUUAGGUGGAAGUAUAUUGAUCAAAUUAUUUGUGCGGAACUACCAAAUCCAGAUACAGAACUCAGUCUACAGAGGUCAUCAAAAGGACUGAUGAAUCAUGUGGCUAUUUCAAUAUCAGUUCACCUCACAAAAUGCCUUUGAAGAAAAUCCGAAAAUUGGAUAUGUAACGUCGCCUCGCGCCAAGUUGUAGAAGAAUAUAUACGCGUCAAUUGACUUUUGAUAGGUAUUACCAUAAUGACCUAUACUUUUAAUUGCAACGAAUUGAGUGUGUACAGCCAAGAUACUUUGAGCAGCUCCACAAUUUUGCCAUAUUUUAGUAUGAUUCAAGAAGACUCUUUUGACCUAGGCACCUAUAAAAUGAAAUAGGAGGAGGAGAAGAAAACAAAGAGAAGUGUUUAAAAGAUGCCGAUGGGGUUUGGCUGUAGAGUGGUUUCCAGGUGUCCAUCGCGAGCACGCACUACCUCCAGUGUAUACGGUUUUUUCAAGUAUUGGUGAAUGCUGUUAAUUGACCCUUUUUCUUCACAAAAUGUGCCUUCUACUUUCAUGGAGAUUUGACGAAAAUGAGGACAGGAGAAUUAUCAGCGGCAACUGUUUUAAGACUUACUCUUUGGGACCAGGCGUGCUGAUGGAAAGAGUAUAGAUGAAUCUGAUUAGAGUUCUAUUAAUCGUUGCCUUUUCUUACUUUAACAUAUUAUAAAUUCAAUAAAUAGCGCUGCUUUGAGUCAUGUAAGUCUUCCAGUGUGGCAAAAAACUUACAAGAUAAGUAACAGCUACUGUGCGAUGGCCGAAACUAAUAAUAUUUGUCAGAUUCUAACCGUUAUAACAAGAAGAAAUGGAGCUGAUAAGAUAUUUGGUUUGUGCAUGAGCAAUACUUUCCCCGUAAAAGAUGAAGCAUCUACCACAAAUCACAAG